CUGAGAUUCAUAAAUGCAUAAUUUUGGGGGUUAAAAUGUAUUUUCUGAAUAUAUAUCACAGUUUUGAGAGAGACUUAAAAAACAGGAACUGAAAUGCAAUUUUCGAAAGCUUGAGGCUGUAAUACAGAUUUUUCAUUAUUUCAAAUCGACCCCGGCCCAAAAUCAGGAAUAACUUAAAUUACGGGACCAAAUUAAAAUUUCAGAGAAUUUCAAUUAUAACCUCAGGGGGCCAAAUUUUAAUUUCAUAAACCAUAAAUUCCUUGACCUAAUCCAUAUCCACAAAGCGGCCGUGCAAAUUAGCAUAACAUAAAUGGGGGACUUAAU
rnacentral:lncRNA from 1 species